UCCAUCUCUCUCUUUCUCUUUGUGGUCCAUCUUCGCCAACUUCCAUAUAUAAUACUGAUCAAUUUUUGGUUUCAUUUUAGGGAGAGGAGACAAAGUGAAAGAGUACUCCAUAUCAUGGAUUGGCAUGGCAACUUAAGAACCUUUGUCUCUCGACCAGAGAAUUCCUUUAACUUCCUCUACAACUAUAGAUAUGACCAGUAUAAUCAAGGUAAAACUCUCUUCUCUCCUCACUAUAUAUCUACAGCCCACUUGAGCUUUCUUUUUAUAAUUUCACCUUUUCUUUUGCAUGGAAACUCCGAGGAAUCAACUCAUACUUAUUUCUUUGCUAGGGAAACCAAACUUGUUUAUAUAUGUUUUUCUUUUCAGGAAUGGAUUUGAAGCACCCAGCAAUGGCAGAAACACCACACGGUAUGGUCCCAACUAUGGACAAGCUUAGCUUUGGAAUUCAUGAGAAGAAGAAGAGAUUGACAAGCGAUCAGUUAGACUCACUGGAGAGGAGCUUUCAAGAGGAGAUUAAGUUAGACCCUGAUAGGAAAAUGAAGCUGUCUCGUGAGCUAGGGCUGCAACCAAGGCAGAUUGCUGUUUGGUUCCAAAAUAGACGUGCUAGGUGGAAAGCUAAGCAACUUGAACGCUUAUACGAUGCACUUAAGCAGGAGUUUGAUGUUGUUUCUGUAGAAAAACAGAAGCUUCAAGAAGAGGUUAUGAAACUGAAAGCUAUCCUCCGGGAGCAAGCCACCGACAGGAAGCCAGUGUCAACGGGCUACACAGAGAUUUCAGGCGAAGAGACAGUGGAAAGCACAUCGGUCGCAAUUCGCAGCUCCAAUGGCAAGCCACGAGGAACAAGUCAGCAUCAGAUUGCAGAGUGCAACUAUCUUCUGAAUGUUGAUGAAUAUAACCCAGUAACAUCACCUUACUGGGCUGUUCUUCCAUCUUAUCCUUAAUUAAUAGGCUGUUAUUGUUGUUUAUACUUCUUAAUUAUUAUUAUGCUAGAGUAAUUAGUUCAGCCUAUGUAGUAAAUGUUAGUAUUAUUAGCCCUAGUGCUGAAGAAUGAAGAUGCAUGGCUUCUGCUGUUGAGCUACGUAUUAGCAUAUAUAUAUAUAAUAAUCGGAAUCCCUUCUAAUAUAUAUGGAGGACAUUUAUCUUAGAUUAUCUGCAUGAAUGUGAGCUCCUACAUACUAUUAUUAUCCUUCAAGUUUCAAGACUAAACCUUAUUAUUCUAGGGAAUAAAUCCAAUUAAAACCCAAGGAAAUUUCUUGAUAGCUGUAUAUAUAUUGAAUCUGG
rnacentral:misc_RNA from 1 species